UGGGGAAUAUUGGACAAUGGGCGCAAGCCUGAUCCAGCCAUGCCGCGUGAGUGAUGAAGGCCCUAGGGUUGUAAAGCUCUUUCACCGGUGAAGAUAAUGACGGUAACCGGAGAAGAAGCCCCGGCUAACUUCGUGCCAGCAGCCGCGGUAAUACGAAGGGGGCUAGCGUUGUUCGGAUUUACUGGGCGUAAAGCGCACGUAGGCGGACUAUUAAGUCAGGGGUGAAAUCCCGGGGCUCAACCCCGGAACUGCCUUUGAUACUGGUAGUCUUGAGUUCGAGAGAGGUGGGUGGAAUUCCGAGUGUAGGGGUGAAAUUCGUAGAUAUUCGGAGGAACACCAGUGGCGAAGGCGGCUCACUGGCUCGAUACUGACGCUGAGGUGCGAAAGCGUGGGGAGCAAACAGG
rnacentral:rRNA from 1 species